rnacentral:rRNA from 1 species
AACGUAGGACACAAGCGUUAUCCGGAAUUACUGGGCGUAAAGCGCGUGCAGGCGGAUUACCAAGUCAUGUGUGAAAGCUCCUGGCUAAACUGGGAGAGGACAGAUGAGACUGGUAGUCUGGAGGGCGUCAGAGGAGUGUGGAAUUCCGCGUGUAGUGGUGAAAUGCGUAGAGAUGCGGAGGAACACCAGUGGCGAAGGCGGCACUCUGGGGCGCACCUGACGCUGAGGCGCGAAAGCAUGGGUAGCGAAC